UACGUAGGGUGCAAGCGUUAAUCGGAAUUACUGGGCGUAAAGCGUGCGCAGGCGGUUGUGUAAGACAGAUGUGAAAUCCCCGGGCUCAACCUGGGAACUGCAUUUGUGACUGCACGGCUGGAGUGCGGCAGAGGGGGAUGGAAUUCCGCGUGUAGCAGUGAAAUGCGUAGAUAUGCGGAGGAACACCGAUGGCGAAGGCAAUCCCCUGGGCCUGUACUGACGCUCAUGCACGAAAGCGUGGGGAGCAAACAGG
rnacentral:rRNA from 1 species